GAAAGAUUUGAAAAAAAAAAGAGAGGAGAAGAAAGAUAUUGGAACACAUGUGGGCUAGACUUACGUAGGUCUUUCCACAUGUGAUUCCAAUAUCUUUCUUCUCUUCUCUUUUUUUUUCUAGUUUUU
rnacentral:pre_miRNA from 1 species